UACGAAGGGUGCAAGCGUUACUCGGAAUUACUGGGCGUAAAGCGUGCGUGGGUGGUUCGUUAAGUCUGAUGUGAAAGCCCUGGGCUCAACCUGGGAAUGGCAUUGGAUACUGGCGACCUAGAGUGCGGUAGAGGGUAGCGGAAUUCCCGGUGUAGCAGUGAAAUGCGUAGAUAUCGGGAGGAACAUCCGUGGCGAAGGCGGCUACCUGGACCAGCACUGACACUGAGGCACGAAAGCGUGGGGAGCAAACAGG
rnacentral:rRNA from 1 species